rnacentral:lncRNA from 1 species
CUCUUUCUUGUUGAUUUGGAUUACUAGUUCUAUUAUUCAUGCCGUGAAAUUAGAUGAGUUUUAUUGCUGUGCGUUGCUAUUUAAUUUGUCUAGUUUGCAUGAUAUAAUGUGCUACAUGUUUUACACACUGUCUUUCUGGAUUAAAUAUUCAUCGAAAUUACCUAAUUUUUCAACACUAUGUGUGCAGCAGCGUUUGCCUCUCUUCUCAAUUUCUGCCGGAGGUCUCUUCGAUGGAUUUUAUGCUGUGGAUGGAUCGCAGCAGCGGUCUGACUCUCAUCGAUGCUCCCGGAUGAGCCUUGGGGCUGAUGUCCUAUUUAUUGAUCGAGUAAGGAGAUAGCAGCACGUACAGGAGGUUGUUACGGUAAUGCCUGUUCUCUUUAUUUGAUUUUUCUUUUCUUUGGCUGAGUGGGCGAUAGCUUAACUGCCUCAUGUCAAUUUCGUGGGCGGCCGUGGGAGCUGGCCGUUGCAAACUUGAAGCAGGCUCCAAGUUUCCUAGCGAUGGACACCGGGUCACAUGUGCUAGCAUUUGGGCCAUGAUCUCCUUUUAAUUAUGUUAAUGAUUUUCUUUUCUUUUUGUCUUAUUGCUGCUUUGACUUUCGAUUCUAUUGCCAGCAGUUGAUGCACGCUUUUUUUUUAAAACAACGAGCUGGCUUUAUUUAUUCAACAAACUUAUUACAAUUGAUCGGGAACUAAACUGACAAUAAAGAUUUCGGAUAAACCGAAAGUGGCAUAAAAAAUCUUUGAAGCCAACUUUUCUGGCUGCGCCAAUCGCAUCUUGAUAUAUCUCCAAAUUUCUGGUGACGAAACAGUAGAAGACCAAACCU